CACAUUACUAUCGCAUUGCUGUCCGUUCUGCGCCCCUUGGGACUCCACUUUCACCUCGACAUCACCACUUGAAUUCACCGUGGCCACUUGAGACUGAACCCCAUCUUUUUCUUUCAUCACGACAUCUGACUCGGUGUACUGAGAUGGUCCGAAGCUGCUUUCUUCCGGUUCAUCCCCGUCAACAAUAACAUCAUCCCCUUCGUUGUCGAUAGUGGUUGUAUUGUUAUUUCUACCACUUACAAGGGAGGAUGUUCGUCUUCGUUGACUUUCUUGCCAUUCUUCGAGUUCUGAGUCGCCUUCUACGUCUACGGUUUCAUCUUCCUCAUUCAUCUAGAACGUACUAACAUUAGCAUCAUACUCAAUAAAAUGGUGGAAAACUAGAAUUUCAAGAUUAUUCUGGCUAUAAUGGAGGAAACUAUAGAAAACCAGGAAAACGUAAUUAUAUCAUCAGUAUAAUUUCAGAUAUGACAAGCCGCCCUAGAGUUGAUUAAAUGUCAAAUUAAAAUGAUCCAAUCAGCACUAGAAACCGAAUAUAUCGCGAAGAUAUUUCGAGCAAUGAUGAAAGAUAGGAAUAAGCUACUGGCAACAUUUAAAAAAUAUAAAAACAUGGAGGAUUAUAAAAGGAAAAAAACGUAAUGAAACACAGGCCUAUUUUAAAUUACAAUUAAGCGCUACAAGGGAUAUUUAGUCAUCCCUAAAACUACCUAAUGUAUGUAAUAAACACUGAGACACAAGAAUUCCAGACAAUCUUGACAAUGAAGAGUCAAUAAUUAAUUAUUUAUUAACUCAAUGCCCAAAAUUAGCCCGAAAAAAAAUUCAUUACAGAACAAUUUUAGAUUAGAGAUUAUAGGUAAUAUAACGGGACGGCUUUAGAUGAAAUUAACAUUAAUAUAAUUAGGCGACACAUGUCUGCCUUUAUUGUUACCUUAUAUUACGCACGUAAGAAAUGAUUGUUUAACGCACUCCAUAUUUCCCUCAUUGUGGAAAAAAGCUAAAGUAAGGCCUUUUCUAAAAUCGUCCAACCCGCAAGUAUUAAGAUCGAUAAGUAUACUUCUAACUUAAUUAAAGAUUUUAAAGAAAGUUAUGGAAAUUCAAUUGCAAUUAUAUAUUAAAAAAAAUAUAUUUUACUAGAUACACCAUUAAGGUUCAGAGCAGGUCAUAGAUGCUGUACAGGAGCUUAUAAAAGUGAUGAUAUUUAGUCAGCUGUGGAUUAAAAUAAACGUACUUUACUAGUAAUAGUAGUAAUGACUGAUUAUAGUAAAGCCGUUGACGCUCUGAGUUAUGAUCUUUUAAUGAAAAAUAUUGUCGUUUGUGGAAAUUUGAAGGAUAUAUGUCAGAUUAAAUUCUACCAUAGAAAAAGCUGAAAUUUAUUUAAAAUUAUAUAACACUAUAAUUAGUAUCCAAUAAAUCAAUAUAUUCAGUUGCCAAUAAGAGACAAUUUAUUUUAUUUCUUCCAGGCACCAGUGAGAAAAAUGUCAAUAUCUUAAUAUUAAGUGUACGAAUUUUAGUAGCUUCUUCGAAAAGUGCUAAAAGAGCCAUUAGAGUAUCCCAGAAAUCAAUAAUUACAACAUUUUAGCCACUAGAAAUCAAGAUAUUUAGUUGCCUAUAAAAAACCAAUUAUUUUAUUUCUUCCAUUAAGCAUCCAGAUUUUUAGUGUAUGAAAUUCAAUAUACUUUUCAGUAGUUGCUUCGAGAGCCCUUGGAGUAUCCCAGAAAUCAAUAUUUACAACAUUUUAGCCACUAGAAAUCGAGAUAUUCAGUUGCCAAUAAGAGAAAAAUUAUUUUAAUUCUUCCAGGCACUCCAUAGUUGCUUCAAGAGUCCCUGAGUAUCCCAGAAAUCAAGAAUUACGACAUUUUAGCUACUAGAAGUCAAGAUAUUCAGUUGCCAAUAAGAGUGAAAUUAUUUUAUUUCUCCCAGGCACUCCAGUGAGAAAAAUGUCAAUAUUUUAACUUUUAGUCUAUGGAUUUUAGUAAUUUUUCCAAAAAGUGCUAAAAAUAAAGUUAGAGCUCAUACGAAGCCGACAGAGACAGACAUAUUGAAAUAGCUGCGACGUGAAAACAAAGAAUAAAAGUUAAUAAAGAAUAAAUUGUAUUUCCUAA